rnacentral:rRNA from 1 species
GCUUGUUGGGGUUGUAGGACACUCUAUACGGAGUUACAAAGGACGACAUUAGACGAAUCAUCUGGAAAGAUGAAUCAAAGAAGGUAAUAAUCCUGUAGUCGAAAAUGUUGUCUCUCUUGAGUGGAUCCUGAGUACGACGGAGCACGUGAAAUUCCGUCGGAAUCUGGGAGGACCAUCUCCUAAGGCUAAAUACUCUCUAGUGACCGAUAGUGAACCAGUACCGUGAGGGAAAGGUGAAAAGCACCCCGGAAGGGGAGUGAAAUAGAACCUGAAACCGUGUGCUUACAAGUAGUCAGAGCCCGUUAAUGGGUGAUGGCGUGCCUUUUGUAGAAUGAACCGGCGAGUUACGAUUUGAUGCAAGGUUAAGCAGUAAAUGUGGAGCCGUAGCGAAAGCGAGUCUGAAUAGGGCGUUUAGUAUUUGGUCGUAGACCCGAAACCAGGUGAUCUACCCUUGGUCAGGUUGAAGUUCAGGUAACACUGAAUGGAGGACCGAACCGACUUACGUUGAAAAGUGAGCGGAUGAACUGAGGGUAGCGGAGAAAUUCCAAUCGAACCUGGAGAUAGCUGGUUCUCUCCGAAAUAGCUUUAGGGCUAGCCUCAAGUGAUGAUUAUUGGAGGUAGAGCACUGUUUGGACGAGGGGCCCCUCUCGGGUUACCGAAUUCAGACAAACUCCGAAUGCCAAUUAAUUUAACUUGGGAGUCAGAACAUGGGUGAUAAGGUCCGUGUUCGAAAGGGAAACAGCCCAGACCACCAGCUAAGGUCCCAAAAUAUAUGUUAAGUGGAAAAGGAUGUGGCGUUGCCCAGACAACUAGGAUGUUGGCUUAGAAGCAGCCAUCAUUUAAAGAGUGCGUAAUAGCUCACUAGUCGAGUGACACUGCGCCGAAAAUGUACCGGGGCUAAACAUAUUACCGAAGCUGUGGAUUGUCCUUUGGACAAUGGUAGGAGAGCGUUCUAAGGGCGUUGAAGCAUGAUCGUAAGGACAUGUGGAGCGCUUAGAAGUGAGAAUGCCGGUGUGAGUAGCGAAAGAUGGGUGAGAAUCCCGUCCACCGAUUGACUAAGGUUUCCAGAGGAAGGCUCGUCCGCUCUGGGUUAGUCGGGUCCUAAGCUGAGGCCGACAGGCGUAGGCGAUGGAUAACAGGUUGAUAUUCCUGUACCACCUAUAAUCGUUUUAAUCGAUGGGGGGACGCAGUAGGAUAGGCGAAGCGUGCGAUUGGAUUGCACGUCUAAGCAGUAAGGCUGAGUAUUAGGCAAAUCCGGUACUCGUUAAGGCUGAGCUGUGAUGGGGAGAAGACAUUG